rnacentral:rRNA from 1 species
UAAUACGAAGGGACCUAGCGUAGUUCGGAAUUACUGGGCUUAAAGAGCUCGUAGGUGGUUAGAAAAGUUGGUGGUGAAAUCCCAAGGCUUAACCUUGGAACUGCCGUCAAAACUUUUUGACUAGAGUAUGAUAGAGGAAAGUGGAAUUUCUAGUGUAGAGGUGAAAUUCGUAGAUAUUAGAAAGAACACCGAUUGCGAAGGCAACUUUCUGGAUCAUUACUGACACUGAGGAGCGAAAGCAUGGGUAGCGAAGAGGAUUAGAUACCCUCGUAGUCCAUGCCGUAAACGAUGUGUGCUAGACGUUGGAAAUUUAUUUUUCAGUGUCGCAGCAAAAGCGUUAAGCACACCGCCUGGGGAGUACGACCGCAAGGUUA